AUUGAACGCUGGCGGCAGGCCUAACACAUGCAAGUCGAGCGGAUGAAGGGAGCUUGCUCCUGGAUUCAGCGGCGGACGGGUGAGUAAUGCCUAGGAAUCUGCCUGGUAGUGGGGGAUAACGUCCGGAAACGGGCGCUAAUACCGCAUACGUCCUGAGGGAGAAAGUGGGGGAUCUUCGGACCUCACGCUAUCAGAUGAGCCUAGGUCGGAUUAGCUAGUUGGUGGGGUAAAGGCCUACCAAGGCGACGAUCCGUAACUGGUCUGAGAGGAUGAUCAGUCACACUGGAACUGAGACACGGUCCAGACUCCUACGGGAGGCAGCAGUGGGGAAUAUUGGACAAUGGGCGAAAGCCUGAUCCAGCCAUGCCGCGUGUGUGAAGAAGGUCUUCGGAUUGUAAAGCACUUUUAGUUGGGAGGAAGGGCAGUAAGUUAAUACCUUGCUGUCUUGACGGUACCAACAGAAUAAGCACCGGCUAACUUCGUG
rnacentral:rRNA from 1 species